CGAUCACACUACCCCCUCCCUGACGGGCUAGGCAGGCAUGAUGGGGGGCAAAAAUAAACGCAGAGGGAAGGUGGCUCCUCCUCGUACCAAUAAUGCUACAUGUAGCAUUACUCCUCCUCGCAUUCCUCCAAGUCUUCCGGAGGAUAUCUGGUGCCAUAUACAUUCUCUAAUUCCACUGAGGUCUGCUGCCCGAGUAGCAUGUGUGUCUCGUUUAUUUCGGGAUUCCUGGAGUAGCUAUCCCAACCUCACUUUCAGUAGUGAGGCAUUGGGCUUGGAUAAAAAAUCAUAUAGAACGAAAAUAUCUGGGGAGU